GUAGGUGGCAAGCGUUGUCCGGAAUUAUUGGGCGUAAAGCGCGCGCAGGCGGUCCUUUAAGUCUGAUGUGAAAGCCCACGGCUCAACCGUGGAGGGUCAUUGGAAACUGGGGGACUUGAGUACAGAAGAGGAAAGCGGAAUUCCAAGUGUAGCGGUGAAAUGCGUAGAGAUUUGGAGGAACACCAGUGGCGAAGGCGGCUUUCUGGUCUGUAACUGACGCUGAGGCGCGAAAGCGUGGGGAGCAAACAGGGAUUAGAUACCCUGGUAGUCCACGCCGUAAACGAUGAGUGCUAGGUGUUAGGGGGUUUCCCGCCCCCUUAGUGCUGCAGCUAACGCAUUAAGCACUCCGCCUGGGGAGUACGCCGCAAGGCUG
rnacentral:rRNA from 1 species